rnacentral:sRNA from 1 species
AGGAGUAGAUCAUUUCCCAUGACUUAUUUCCCAUCU